UGAANUGGGUAGUCCGCACGAGCGCACCUUGNUCAUUAGUUGCUACGAAAGGGCACUCUAAUGAGACUGCCGGUGACAAACCGGAGGAAGGUGGGGAUGACGUCAAGUCCUCAUGGCCCUUAUGGGUAGGGCUUCACACGUCAUACAAUGGUACAUACAGAGGGCCGCCAACCCGCGAGGGGGAGCUAAUCCCAGAAAGUGUAUCGUAGUCCGGAUUGUAGUCUGCAACUCGACUGCAUGAAGUUGGAAUCGCUAGUAAUCGCGGAUCAGCAUGUCGCGGUGAAUACGUUCCCGGGUCUUGUACACACCGCCCGUCACACCAUGGGAGCGGGUUUUACCAGAAGUAGGUAGCUUAACCGCAAGGAGGGCGCUUACCACGGUAGGAUUCGUGACUGGGGUGAAGUCGUAACAAGGUAGCCGUAUCGGAAGGUGCGGCUGGAUCACCUCCU
rnacentral:rRNA from 1 species